rnacentral:lncRNA from 1 species
UAAGUGAAAAUCAUGCAUAUAUUUAACAUUUAAGGUGCCCAGCUUCCCUAGUAAGGGGCUCGGCAAAAUAAUCAUCACGUCAUCUCCGUCAUCAUCAUCAUCAUAACCAUCCUCAUCACCAAUCAUAUAUAUAAUAUACAUACCCGGCCCUCUAGUGAGGAACUCGGUGACAUAUGCAAGAAACUCCGCACGAACAUUACCCGGCCCGGGACUCGGUGAAAUGAUAAAUGACUCUAUGCACGAGCAGAAUAUUAUGAGCAACCAUAUGCAAUUAAAAUCAUUUCUUAUAACUCAAUAGAACAAUCAACGUGAACCAGCAAGGAGUAUUACCAAAGAUUAAUGUUUUAUCAAGAUUAUGAACCUUUAAUACGAUAUGGAAACGUAAAAUUUCAAUGACUCUAAGAAGCAUUACCAUAGAUAUUAGAGAUCAUCAUAGCCUUAGACAUAACCGAUAUAUAGAGGAAUAAUUGUGGAAGCAAGAAUAUACAUCACCUAGACGCUUUAGAGGUAAGUAUCAAAUCUGUCCGUUAUUCGCUUAUUUUUAGAAGUCAUGCCAAGCAAAGAAAGAAGGGACAGCGUUACAUACCGUAUAAUUGAGCCGCACGUCCAAUAUUUACUGCUCAAGCUAUUAAUCUAUAACAAGCAACAGUCGUGCCGCAAUUAGAUAAACAUCGUGCUUUACUUUCUUGUAAGCUAGCUAAUAAUCUAACGAAAAUUCGGCAGCACCUCCCCUAUUUUCCUUACUUCGUCCCAAUCCGACAACAAUCCAAAUUAUCCACAGCAAUACCAAUAACACAUAUAACCCAAAGAAUCAUAUAAACAGCCCAAGCACCAACAUGACACCACUAAUAAUCCGAUUAUGGUUUCCAUUCAUACUUAGCACAUUCAAUAACUAAAACAAACUUCCUAAGCUACUGGUCACGCCCCCUUCUUAAAAUUAAUGGAUAAUUAACAAGGGUAUUCUAAAGAAUUAACACACCAAACAAGGAGAUUACUAACCAAAUUAUUUGCAGCUGCUGGCCAAGAGUUGCAGGGUUGGUUUCUCCAUUUCCAUGGCUGCCUAAGACAAGUGGUGAAGAAGAAGAUGAUAUGCAGCAAUGCAUUUCACCACUUUAUAUAGCAUGGAGUGGAUUUCUCCACCUCAUUUAAUAGUAUGAAGUGGAGGCAGCCCCCCUCUACACCUGUCCACUAAGGCCAGCCCACAAUCUGAUCCCUUUUUAAUUUUUGCCUUGAGUGGUGGGGCCCAUUGGAUUAAAUCAAUCCAAAUUAGCCACUAAUUAAUCCCUCACUUAAAGUUAAUGGCACUUACAUUAACCAACUCAUACAUAAUAUCACAUUUGGAAAUAACAUCCUUGCCUAAUAUUUCUUUACGUCUUCUAGAUCACGAUGCGCACUACGUAUAAAAAAAAAUACGAGGCAUAACAAAUGAAAUUCAAUUUCAACAAGAAUCCUAAACACCAUGCACAUGCAACAUACUUCUAUGACUAUUAGACCAUCUAUUAACAAUAUUUUCCCACUUAUAAGGAACUCAUAACUCAAAAGAAAUUCAAGAAUAUACCAUCAUUAUCAUCACCACCCUCAUCUUGCUUUGAUCCUCUACUCCUAAGUGCAUAGAAACACCUCUUUUUUUGAGCAUCAUAUUUAGGAACAUUAGGAGCAACUUGCUCACAAUCUAUAGUAGGAAAAUCCCUCACUUUGUGUCCAUCUUUACCACUUACAAAACUAGUCCCGGUACCCCAUAGGCAUUCCCCAUAGUGUUUCUUUCCAAAAGUAGCACAUGUAGUCUUGCCAUUUUAAGAACCACCUUUUUCUCAAAUUUCACCUUAGCACCCCUAGGUUCUUCUCGACUUGCAAACCUUCUUAUACAACCUAGGUUGACUUUGAUCACUUGAAUCACUCCUUUUUAAGUUUCUAGCAAUCCUACAAACUUUAGAAUCCUCAAUUUAUGUAGCAUACACCAUGAGUCUAUCUAGGGUUAUAUAAUCAUUUAAAAUGGUCAUACGACAUUCUUCUCUCUGGUAGAUCGGUGAACCCUGUAUAAAAAUGUAUACAUCUCAUCCCUAGGGUUAGACACAAGGGAUGGUGCAUAUCUAGACAACAUAGAGAACUUCAAAUAGUACUCAUCAACACUCAUAUUGCCUUGCUUGAGACUUAUUAACUCUUAUACUUUUACCUCCCUCCUCUCAUGGGGAAAAUACUUUCAUAGAAAAUCUUCUUUAAAUUAUUCCUACUUAAUAGGACCUGACUCAGCCGGCCUAUAGUCCUUCCAUUUAGUGUACCACACUUAAUAUAAAUCCAUUAAUUGAUAUGAAGCUAACUCCGUCUUAUACCUAGAAGUCACCCUCAUGGCACUCAACACCUUAUAAACUCCAUCUAAGAACUCUUGGGGAUCCUCUCCCAUUUUAGAGCCAAGAAAGAUAGGAGGAUUCAUCCUCACAAACUCUAUCAAUCUAGAUAUCAUAGUGUUCUCCACAACAUUCUUUGUAGGCCCAAUACCCAUAUUCACAUGGGUAGUAAAAGCUUGGGCUAAAGUAACUAAAGUCUCUCUAAUAUCCCCAUUAGUUAUUUCUGGGGAACCACCAAAACCUCAUUACUUGAACCUACAAUUGGGACUUGAGAUCUUUGAGAAACAAGAUCAACUUUCCUAAUUGGAGGAGGAAUCUCCUCAUUCACAUCGUUCUCCUCAACUCUCCUAGUUCAUGUGCUCCUCGAAUUCAUCUCCUAUAACACAAGGAAAAACCAUAAGAAAAGAAUACUCAUAGCUUUUUACUCUACAGAAUGACAAAGGUGUAGAAAACAACGAAAACUAUAUCGUCCUAUAGCCUCUCAUCCAUUUAAAUAGCACCGCCACCAUAAGUAGACAAUACCAAUCACAAGGGGUAAAUUUCAUAAAAUAAUGAGAAUAAGGGCAGCGUACCACCAAUCCAUUCUCACCACUUCAAUCCAUAGCUAAAUCAUCCAAUUCAAUACCAUAAGGCCCUUAUCCAUGUCCAUGAACAUCAAUUUAAUACAAAAACCAUAAUAUUCAAUUAAUAUAGGUCAAUUCUAUAUAUAAUUAUCAAUACAAGACAUUAUAUACAUCAAUGGAAUACAAUUCUUACAUCAUUCAAUAGCCCAUAGAAAACUACAAUAGAAUUCAUAAGCAUUAAGUCAAGAUAAGGUCAACGAUAAAGUAGUCAAAAUAUAGUGUUCAUAGGUUAAGCAUGUUAAGAUCAUAUAAUUAACAACAAAUAAUCAAUAUAUAAUGAUUCAAAACCUUUAAUGCAAGAACCUCGGGAUAAAUCAUCGAUUGGACAAGUUCAUCCUUUAGAAAACUUUACAAAUCUCUUUGAAUUUUGGGCUACUUGAAAAAAUCAUACCUAAGUGAAUUCAAUUUUUUUUGGAAGAAUGAAUGAAUUCAUCUAGAUAUUUAGGACAUAUAAACCCACUUAAAAUACCUAAAUUACCCCUAAUUAGACGCCCAAACUCUUAUUUGGACAUUGUGUGAAUUUAGAAAUUCACCCUUUCAACAUACACUGAACCUGCGAAAUUACAGGUCCAUCCACGGACUGUCUCCCAACCAGCGGAGCUGGUCCUUGGAUGUCUAUAUUCCAAAUCCUAUGUCCUGACCAACGACAACCAAUGACGGGGCAUCGAUGAGCCUAUUGGCCGUCGAUUGCCUCAGUCGACUGGGGCUAGUCUUAGACAGCUUUGGCUAUAAUAUGGAUCCUUCCUCAAGGACCCUUGGUUCGUCCUUAGAGAUGUUUUCCCGACGUUUCAAACUCGAAUAUGUUUUUAUCUGAGUUUAGGACCUCCUAUAUCAAUUUCAUGCAAAAUGAACACGUAAAACUUGACAAAAUAAGCCAAGACACACAAGGUCGUUUCAAGGCACACAUUUCGAACACCAUUGAUGUUUUUGGACGUUUAACCUCCAAAAUCCAUGAAACGUUACACACUGCAUAUAAACACUAUAAUAACUCAUAUAAAUACCUCAUAUAAUUAUGAAACACACAUAAGCACAUAAAAAAGCAUGAGGUACAUACGUGACUAGUCAUCAAACGUCUUGGUCGUCCCGUGACGUUUGACUUCUAAUUCACCUAAACUCUUCAACACUGACUAAAUAGCACAUUAUAAACAACUUUAGAACCUUAUACCCUCAUGACAAACAUGUGGCUCUAGCUUCAGCUAUGUCAUUUCAGAGGUGUUAAACACUUACAUGUCUUAUGAGUUCUUACACAAGAAAUAAGAAAAGUUCGAUUCAUUUUAAAUGAGAAAUUCUCAAAAUUUAACCAAAGCAUGCUCAUACUUCCUUUUGAGUUACGUCCAAUGGUAAAUCACACCACACACAUCACUACAAUAGGAAGUCAUUUCACAAAAUUUCAAUUUCUAGCAUGACAAUAACAUUCAUAAGCAAACAUCAACUUGGGAAAGUCUUACAAUUUAUAGGUACACACAAGGAACACUAGCUAGACAUGCCUUUACUUUUCAAGAGUUAGCCUACAUUAAUAACUCACAAGUCAUAAAAGUCACACAAUUUUAAAGAGGCUCAUCAUUUUCAUUUUAAGGAGACUCAAUUUCUCAUUGUGGUUUAAAACAUCACUUUAUAAAAGUGACUUCAAACAUUCUCCUUACCUUAUCUCAUGAAGUCCAAUGCGCAUUUUAUACAUCAAGAUGCACAAUCAAAAUAAGAAAACAUGAAUUUGAUAUAAAAUCAUUUUUCAUGUAAUUUAGAAUCUUCAAAAUGUGCAUAACAUGGUCUUAAAUAAGACAUAUAUUAGGGAGAAUAUGCAACUUAUACUUUUAUGCAUGACUACUAUCAUGAUCAAGCUUAUACGAACGCUUUAGUUUCAAGCUCAAGUAAGAAUAAAAGGACAAGAUAGAAAUAUCUACCACCUUACUUCAUACAUCACCAUCCUCUACUUAGGGUAAACCCAUUUUAAAGCAAUUUAACUCCACCUUAGGAGAAGUUUAGUUCAGCAACUUCAAUAACUAAGCACAUCUGUCACAUCGGGGAGAACCCUGUAGACGUUACCGGCAUUGUCGUCCUUGACUAGGACUAAGAGUAGCCUCUUAGCCUUUGUCAUUACAUAUCAUAGGUUAAAAAGUGCAAAAAUUUAAAACUUUUCAAUAUCUAUCUUGAGGAUUACAUACACCACUCACAUACACAUAGUAUAUUCAUAUCGAGUAUACAUAGACCCUUCAUAUAAGAAGUUUACAUAGUCUUCUACUUUUAUUGCAACACAUACACACACACACACAUAUAUAUAGAUAUAUAAACCAUACAUAAAAAUGUGAGUAUAACAAUUGGAAUAGACCAUACAUCAAUGUAAUAAAGCAACGUAUAGGCUAUAAAAAAUUAUUACUCAAAUGAAAGGAAAUGAACAUAGUGUAUUUAUGACUAAUCAAUAACUAAAGUUAGAAAAUGGCAUUGUCCUCGAAGUAGUGAGGACCUACCCAACUUGGAGAGUAAGAAUUCCAAGUCUUCCUUUAUUGUCGUAACAAUCCCUUCAACGACUAAAACGUAAAAUAUUUGGGGACAAGGGAGAAAACACGGUUAGUACACCAGAUGUACGAAGUAUGAGACCAUAUGCACAGACAUCAUAAAAUCAUGCUAAAAAGGGACACUUCAUUAAAAUAUACCAUUUACUUUGAAGAGCCUUAUUCACAUUCAAGAACAAAUACAAGUCAAUCAUCCAUAUUCAUUAUGUCAAUGCCAUGUACAUCACAAGACCAAUCAAGACUAUUUCUAGUCAAGUUAACAGACAUAUUAACAGACUUGAGCACAUAGUCAAUACAAAUGUAUCAUUAAUGCUUGACAUUAUCAAGCAUAUAUAAGAAUUCAUAAUAACAAAACCAAAGCAAUACCAUUACCUAUAGUUCCUCAUUAAGUCUACUAGUUUAAUGACUAAGAAAUGACCCAUAAAUUUUACUCCAUAAAGUAAACCCAACAAGAACCAUAACAAUGUCCAACUUCACAAAUCUGAUCAUUAAGAGUACCGAACAUAAAACUUUAGCAAUAGAGACCAAACACAUAUUCAUAAGUAAAACCAUCAUCACGUAGUAUCAUAAACAUUUAAGAUCAUCAUAUACAUAUUAUUUAUAUUUAUAAGCAUUUACAUACAGAAGAACAUCUUACUAAGACUCCCUUUAAGGCUAAGUAGUGUGACAUAUAGGUUGAGUCCCAUACCCCUACCUAGACUAAGCUAAAACCCUUUGGUCAUCCUAGUUAUAUUCCUUUCAUUACUUUAUUUUAAAUUUUGGGAACAUCUUGCCUUAACCAACACAAACCACAUGAGCUAAUGUGGAAUCGUGUGUGAUGGAACCCUACACCGAAAGAAGGCGGACUACUUGCCAUGAUAGUACCAAAACAUGAACAUAGCAACUACGUGGAUCCACUAGCUAGUAUUAUUAUGGGGGAAACAUAGUUCAAAACUAGGAGAUAUAGUUGGUACCCUCUUUAUGCUACAUGCAUUAUAGUCUCCUAUCUAAAGAGUACAUUAGUGAUCCUACCUUCCCUAUGAGGGGGGGGACACUCCUCACUCUAGUUCACUCGGUGCUAAGAUAGAGUCUCUUUUUUAAAUGUCUUUAAGACUUUAUUAUAAAUCAUAGCUUACUUUAUGUCAUAGGGUCUAUGACUUAUCUAUUAAUCAUCAUAGGUUAAUAAUAAUGGAAUGAGUAUUGUGUUCCGUUACAAUACAUACAUGUGAAGUUAGCAUAUUUAUACAUUCAUAUCAUGACAAGGCACAUUGGUAAGUUAUCACCAUCCUUAUAACAUUUAUAUCUUAGCCAACAUAUCACAAACCAUAGUAAAGAAAUUUCAAUUAAACAUCAUACCAAAACUAUAAAACUAAUUUAAGAUAUACAUCAACACAACAACAUCACUUAAUCACAAGUAACUAUCAUUGAAGUAAAGAGAUGAUAUCAUAAGACUUACCCAAAUCUUCUUCACAAAACAAUCAUCAAGGUCAUACCAUCAAACAUUCUCAAUUCAACCCAAAAAUGGGUAUACUAUUAUCACAUAAUGGUAAUCAACAUGAUAAUGAAGACGAAUGAAUCACUACAUCACAAUCAAUCACUACUUCAUUACUUAAGAUAACAGACAUAAGUAAAGUUCAUGAUCUACUUUACAACCUAGGUCAAUUACUAAAGAACUAAUAUAAUUGAUUUAAAAUAUAUCAUAAUAUACUAAUAAAUGGCAUAAUAAAAAUCUAGUACAGCAAUUCACGCACUAACCAAGACAAUUUUACCAGUACUAUACAAUUCAAUUCAACAUGACAACCUAUGUUAAGGGCAAAAGGUUCUCCUCUACAAACUAGACCAAUCCAUUAAGAAGUAAUUUAAUUGUGUAAUUGUACAUGUUCUUAUACUUAUAAUAACAAAAAAAUCAUAAACAAAGCAAUUUACAAGAUCAUUUUUGUAUUGGAUGAUAACCCACUUGAAAUUCAUUUUGAAAUCAAUUUGAUGGAACCCUUUGGGGAAUGAGAUCCCAAAGGUUAAACGAAUCCCAUACCCUAUUGAAUGAUUAAUUUCGAUGGAGGAUCUUCUAUGUUUAGCAGACCUAGAACCCCUUGACCAUGACUUGUAUAGUUUUCUUCAACUUGGGAAAGAGAAAGAAGAGAGAAAGAGGAGAGAUGUGGGUUUCGGAAAUUACGAGGGUUAGGUUAGUCUAAUUAGGUUAGGGUCUUUAUAUAGGUCAAUAACCAACAUAAUUAGACCUCCAUUAACCCCUAAAUAAUCAACUAACAACCUAAUUAAUAAUUUAACAAACUUAAAAACUUUCAGCAAAGCUAUGAACUCACAAACGAGACCACGAUCGACGCCCCAUUUGUCAAAUGACGGACAAGGGAUCAACCGUCCUUUUGGUCUAUCAGUUUGGUCAGAGGCUGUCCAAAACAGACCCUUCUUGAAUUUGUAUAAGUGUACAUCAAUGCCUCAUCGAUUGCACAACGCCUCGUCGAUGGCCCACGUUGGUGACACUAUCUCUUGACAACUUUUAUCCACAUUUCCAAGGGUCCUUAGUUUGUCCUUGGGGAAUAAUACCCGGAAGUUUCGUAUAUUAACUUACUCUAAUACAUGUUAGAAACCUUCCCACCGAAUUUCAUCACAUUGCGAAUCCUAAAACUUAGUCAAACAUGCUUAGGCAGACUAGUACCUCAUGAACUAGUUUUCUAACAUCAUGGACCUUCUUUGCAUAUUGAUUCUAAAACUCCUAAAUAGAUUAUAUACAUUAAAAUUGACCUUAAAACUGUGACACAACCUUUUGAUACUCAUGUUUUUCUCUAGAACACGUCUUAGACAUUCAUAGUAUUAAAACAUCAUCCCACUUUUGGGAUCUAAGCUUAAGCAUACUCUCCAUCCCUAUUACCCAAUAGCAAUUUCUAGUAUAAAAAAGUUCAAAGGAAACCAACAAAAGAACAUGAAGGUAACUCUAAAAAUACCAUCUAGGCACAGUAUCCCCCACUUGGGGUAAGCCUAGCAACAUCAUGCCCUUACACACCAAGGUCAAAGCAAGUAAAAACAAACCCUACACACUCCUCAAACAACAAGAAUUAAUAUUAAUUAUAGGUUCUCAGUCUUCAUCUCACAUCAAUGAGUCUACUAAAUCCAUUAUCAAGGGGUAAUACCUCAAGCAUCAUCAUUCCUUCAAGAUCAAUACCAAAAAUAAUCCAUAACCAUCAAGUUAGGUCAUACUACCCCAACCAUAUUAGGUAUCAACUAUACCAUGAAUACAAAGGGUCAUGAAAACCAUAGGGGAAACAAUAUAGGAGACAUAUCCAAGGCCGCUUUCUUUUGUUUCAAUACUAGGGAAAGUUUACUUCUAGGUCAUUCCAACCCACCUCAUCACCUUCAAAGUAAUCACACUACCUUCACUUCUAGAACCAAGCCUACACAAAGCACUCAAAUCCAUACAAGGUAACUUUGAGGAAUCCCACACAUAAUAAGGCAACAAUUAAACCAUUAAACAUGUAUAAUGGCAACAUACAUCUUUAGCUAUUUACCACACUUCAUAAAGCUAACCUUGAUCUUCAUCUCCAUGGAUGUUUGUAGAGAGAAUAUUUUUGGAGAGGGAGGUCUAAUUUUGAAUCAUUAAUUUGGAGUGGGGUUGUCACGUUCUUCCUCAAAAGUGUUUCUGAAAAAUAAAUAUGGGAGGUAACUCUGCGACGGGCAGCCAAGUCCCAAAUUUGGUCGCAUCAUAUUAAAGUCAAGCUGAACUUUUUGUUUCAAGUCCAAAAAGUGUAGGGGUGUUUGGGUGCUUUUGUUAUUAGUUAAAAAUGGUUUUUAAGUCACUAUACACCCUUUCCCCAAUCAAUAACACAAUUACCCGAUUAGAAACAAAAAUAUCAAAACAAUCCUCUCUUCCAAAUUCUGUCAACAACUCCUUUGAACAAAAAUCUUAGGGUUGAAGCUAGAGUCAAGAACAAAAAGGAAUUUGCUUAAGGCUUGUUCUAAAGGUUAAUCAAGGUAUGUAAAUCUCUUCGUCUAUGGGUUCUUACACCCAUAGAAUCCCCUAAAUUUAGAUAAUUUUUUAAGGAAAAGCCCAAUGAAGGUUGGGUUGAUCCGAAUGAAUGGGAAUUAGGUGGGUAUGAUUCCAAAGGGUUGGCUUCUGCCCAUAUAUUAUUAAAUUGAUUUUGAUUCAUUUAUUAUGAAGAAUUUAUGUUGAAUUCGUGAUUAACCCUAAUUUUUAAGAUUAUGUAGGUCUAUACUUUGAAUGAGAAUUUUUAGAUUCUCUUUCGAUUCUCUUGAAUUAAUAAUCUCUAUAAAAAUAUAAGCUAGAAUAGAAUUAUCAAAUCAUGAAUGUACCUACAUGUAUGCAUGUAUAAUAGAAAGUGAAUUGAAUUGAUUAGAAUUGGAACUUUAUGAUUAAGUAUGCUUCAAUUUUUCUUAUGACUAAGUCUUAGAACUAAUGUGUCUUGAAAACAUAGAUUAGUAUGACGAUCUUUUAGUAAAGUUUGAAGGGAGGCUUGAAGUCAUAAUUUUGAUAACUAGAUCUUAUAGAAUGAAUCUAAUAUGAUUAGUAUCUUGCAUGUAUGUAGAAUGUGAUGGGUUAUAUAACCCAAACUGAAUCAUGAUUGUUAUAAUAGAAAAGCUUGAGGUCAAGUCUUAUGAUUCCCUCAUGGAUACUUAAAUUAUUAAGCUUGGUAUCGUAGAAAUCAUGGUAACUUGGGUUGGUGUAUCUCAUAAUAGCUUGGGAUAGAGGAAGUAAGCUUUCUCUUCUUGAGCUUGGUCUUGCAUUUUUCAUAAUGCUUAUCCAUGAUAUCUCUCAUUACCAGUAGUCAAGGUAGCGUAGGAUGGAGAAUCGACACACUUCUAGGGUUAGCUUGGAGUAGCAUGACUAGACCGCCUCCGUGGGAGCUUUAACUAGUUAGGCCAAGACCACUUCAUGACAGUUUAGGAUUAAGAUGUUUUACUUUCCUAAUAAUAGCUUAGGGUUGUAGAAUUAUUGUCACAUCCAGGGAGCACCCCCUAGAAGUAAUAUGGAGCCCUUGACCUCUCAGAGGUCUUAUAAAAGUCCAUAGUUAUCAUUCAUCGCGUUGACAUAGUAAAUUUAGCAGAAAAUUUAAAACUUUUUACAGCACAUCAUAUGUUAGAAACUCAACAUUAUAUAUAUAAAAAUUAUAACUCAUAAUACAUAUUUAGAUCCGAAGUCUCUUUUCCAUCUUAGACUCAACAACCUUAGAAUACAUUACGGACACGCCCUUCUAACAUAAGAAAUAACUAUAUAUCAUUUAAUAAACUUUACAUUAAGAAAUGAGUAGGGAAUCAUUGUAACUUAAGGACCCCUUUCCUUGAGCUUGGGAAUAAUAUAUAAAUAUCCUAAUCAUUGACAUCUUUUAAGCAUCCAUAACCUACACGUAUUGUACAAAGUAGAGAAGAAUGUAAUUAGUACGAGAAUGCACUAUGUAUGGCAACCAUGCAAAAACAUGCAUUUAAAAGGGACAUUUUCUUGAAAUCAUACACCAUGCCUUUUUGAUUAAAUAUUCAUAAAACCUUUAUCCAAUGGAAUUUAUAUCAUUCAUAUACUUCGUAUAAACAUAUUCAAAGGCCAAACAUGACAUAAGAUCACAUAUAGAAUUUAUUACAUUUUAAGCUACUUUAUAGAAUGUUAUUCUUACUUAACAAUGAACUAUUUCUUGAUUUUAUUCAUUAAACUCCCAAAUAACUAUCUAGUGAUAGUUGAUGCAAUGCAUCACCUUAGGGCCACAAGGAAAACAUACAUAUAACCUAACUAAACCAACACAUAUCAUCAUAUAAGCAUAAUAUAUCAAAUCACAUUUAAGUCAAGACUACAUUAGUUUUAUUGUAAUCUACUUCAAGCUGUACAUAUUUUUACUUCUUUUCACAUCCAACAUUAUAAGAUCUUGUUCAUGACCCCAAUAUUUGUCUACUUAGUGAAAUGCACAUGUGAAGCCCCAUAACCCCACACAUGCUUAGUAAACCCUUCGUGAGACCACAAACCUUAACAUUUAAUUCAUACAUCAAUUAGCAAGAGAAGAUAACUUCAUUCAUAUCCAUAAAAGACCUUCACCAUAUAGUUAUUUAGACCAACGUAUUGCAUAUAAGUAUAGGAUCACAUCAUAUAGAUUCAUACAAUAAACAUCUUCAUAACAAGUAGAGCAAUACUACAAAAAAAUGCAUAUGGACAUAAACAUAAUCAUACAUAUUAGGUCACCUUCCUAGGACUUCCUAAGGAGAUACUAAUGAAAUGUCUAGAUGGGUUCAUUACGUCCACCUAUUCUAAGUAACUUACCUUAAGUCCUUCUAGUUGGGAUCCUAUUCAUUUUAAUCCAUUGUCCAUUUUCCUUUAUUGAAACUAAAUCCUUAACCCAAAUAAGGCCAUGAAUGUUAAAUAUGGAAUUGUGUGUUAUCCCCUCAAACCAAAAAUAGGCAUCUUACAUGUAAAAGUACGACAUGUGUAACAUACUAGCAUCUUAGAUGAUAUCACUUGCUAUAUCCUAUCUGGCAAGCAUAGUUAUGGAACUCUUAGGUAAAUGUGAAAACCCUCUUUAUACCAAUUUAGGCAUUGUGGUUAUGCGCCUCAUGAGAUUUAUGGUAGACCUUCCUUCUCACAUUGGGAUGGGAUACUCACUCAUAUUCAAGUUCACUCAAUGGUAAGCUAAGUUACCUUUAUUAAAAAACAUUAUUAUCAAUUCUUUAUAAAAACAUAGGUUUAGGAGAGUCAUCCCCUCAUAUGCUUAACUCAUAGGUCAUAGAUGAAAGUUCAUAAACCUAAAUCAUUUGAGGAAUGCAUUCACAUAAACAUAGCAAAUUUAAAGCAUUAUCUAGUUUAGGGUACAUAUGAAUACACCAUUCAAGGACACUUUCUUGACUAGAUCUUCAUACAUGUGUGUUUGAAUAAUUAUAUGUGAGAAAACCUUCCACAUAACACAUAAUUACAACACAUGGAUAUACAUCAUUUCAUUCAUGCAUAAGUUUACAAUGUAACUAUAUGAUCCAUGCUUUCAAAUAAACAAAAUUAGACACUAGGUAUAAUAAUACUUCAUCAUACCACACACUUCACAUUAUACCAUAUAAGACAUGUCAUAUAACCCUCUGCAUGUCCUUAGAAGACCAACGUAGGAACUAUCCCAUCAAGGUGAAUAUGUGCAAUGCAUAGUCAAAGUCACAACCAUUCCCUAUGCUAGUCUAUCUAUAAAGUCAUCCUAGUAAAUGAUACAUAAUACAACAUCAUAGAAUGGUUAUCAUAGCAUAAGAUCCAUUUAUUUAACACUUACAACUUUUUUUAGUAAAAUUAGGUCUUUAUAUACUUAUCCUAGCGUUACAUCAUAUAUAGCAUUAUAAGACCUCAUCAUAGGCAGCGAGUUCAUAGAACCUUAACAAAAACAUUUACAUGCUCAUAUCAAUAGUAACCUCACCUAGAUUCACAUAUGAAGCCCCAUAACCCCACACAUGCUUAGUAAACCCUUCAUGAGACCACAAACCUUAAGAAUCAGUUCAAAUAUCAAUAAUCAAGUGAAGACAACUUCAUUCAUGUCAAUACAAGACCUUCAUUAUAUAGCCAUUUAGACCAACAUAUUGCAUAUAAGGAUGGGAUCACAUCAUAUAUAUUCAUAUCAUGCAUAUCUUCAUAAAAAGUAGACCAAUACUACAAAGUCAUGCGUAUGGACAUAACCUUAAUCAUACAUAUUAGGUCACCUUACUGUGACAUCCUAGAGAGCUACUUGUGCAGUGUCUAGAUGGGUUCAUUACUUCCACCUAUCAAAAGUAAAAUACCUGAGUCCUCCUAGUGAGGAUCUUAUUCAUUUAUUUCCAUUGUCCAUUUUACUUUAGAGAAACUAUAGUCUUAGCCGACACUAAGACCACAGGUGCUAAACAUGGAUUUGUUGUUAUCCCCUCACACCACAAAGAGGGCAUCUUUCAUGCAAAGGUAAGACAUGAGUAACAUACUAGCAUCUUAGGUUAUAUCGCUUGCUAGAUCUUAUGUGGUAAGCUUAGUUAUAGAACUUGAAGGUAUAUGUGAAAACCCGCUUUAUGGCAAAGUAGCAUUAUAGUUAUUCACUUAUUGAAACCCUCUUUAUACUACUUGAGGAAUUGUUGUUAUCCACCUCAUUCGAUUUAUGGUAGACCUUCCUUCCCACAUUUUGAAGGGACACUCAUUCAUAUUCAAGUUCAAUCGGUGCUAAGCUAAGUUUUAUUAAUUAAAACCUUGGUUAUCAUUUCGUUAUAAAACAUAGGUUUAGUAGAGUCAACCCCUCAUAGUCUUAACUCAUAGGUCAUAGAUGAAAUGUCAACCUAAAUCAUGUGAGCAAUACCUUUACAUGAACAUAGCAUCAAUAAAGCACCAUCUAGUUUAGGGUACACAUGAAUACACCAUUCAAGGCCCCUGUCUUUACUAGAUCUUCAUACAUGUUUGUUUGAAUACUUAUAUGUGAUCAAACCUUCCACACAACACAUAAUUAUCACACGUGGACAUACAACAUUUCAUUCAUGCAUAAGUGUAAAAGUGUAACUACAUAAACCAUGCUUUAAAAUAAACAAACUUAGACACUAGGUAUAAUAAUAAUUCAUCAUACCACACACUUCACAUUAUACCAUAUAAGACAUGUCAUACAACCCUCUGCAUGUCCUAAGAAGACCAACCUAGGAACUAUCCCAUCAAGGUGCAUAUUUGCAAUGCAUAGUCAAAGUGACAACCCUUUCCUAUGCUAGUCUAUCUAUAAAGUCAUCCUAGUAAAUGAUACAUCAUAAAACAUCAUAGAAUGGUUAUCAUAGCAUAAGACCCAUUUAUUUAACACUUACAACAUUUUUAUAGUAAGCUUAGGUCUUUAUGUACUUAUCUUAGCUUUACAUCAAAUAUACCAUUACAAGACCUUAUCAUAGGCAGCGAGUACAUAGAACCUUAACAUAGAAAUUUACAUGCUCAUAUCAAUAGUAACCUCACCUAGAUUCACAUUUAGAGAAGAAGUCUAGGCACAAGUUACACAUAAGUUGAUCAUCAUAAUCACUCAUUCACACAUUCAUCAAUUUUCCUUCAAACCAAUGGUCAACACAUGUAUAAUAACAAUAAGGUAAACACCAACACCAUAUGUGGAUCAUACCACACAAUGCUAUGCAGAGGGCUUCAUCAAUAAUUGCUAUAAAGAAGUAGAGAAGUACAAGAGUAGAGCAAUUCUUACCAAUCCUUUAGCCUUUGGUUACCAUUGAUCAUUACUACUCUUUCAUCAACAAUUCAAGUAUUUUUAGGAGCUAAAAUAUAAAAACCAUAUAGGAAGUCAUGCAUAAGCUACUACAAGGCCAUGUUACAAACUAGUACAAUAUAUCAUUAACAUUCUAGAAUGUAAAAGGGAAUACACCUUCAACCAAUUUCACUUACAUGGCUUUUAGAUAAUAUCUCAUCAAUAAUAUCUCUCUAACAAAAUAGCCAAUCAUACACUUAGUCAUAAAGAAUCAUGCUUAAGCACUUUAAGAUCAAGCUUCAAAUAUAGGCAUUAGGAUUAUUAAUUUGCGAGAGUAUAGAGGUAUUAGCCAAUACUAUUGAUUCCCUAAGGCCUUGAUCAUCAAUAAUAUUAUACGAAUAAUGAACAUGUUAGGAAGUAGAUAAUUAGAUCUUUACUAAGAAGAAAUCAUGCUUCAUCUGACCAUAAUUCGAGAUCACAUUACAUAAAUAACCUUUUUACUUCAUUGUCUAAUAGAAAUUGAUAAAUUCAAUCAAGCCUUUAUUUAAUUUGAUCAAUAAAUGUUUAUACCCAAAAUUAAUCCAUAAUUUUAACUUAAUAUAGUAGAUAUAAUGAUUCAUGUAUAAUUUAAAUCCUAUACAACUGUUCUAAUAUUGAAUUCAUUGUAACACUAGGAAUAUAGGCUUGUAACACUCAAAUAUUGAUACACUGAACCUCAUGGAUCAUUCAUUAUCAAUUAGACGUAAAUUCACAUAAAUAGUAGCAUGUAUAAACACUUAAAUGUAAUAGAAUCACAAUUCAAUCGAUAACAAGUAAAGAUCACAAAAUCCCAUGCAAGAACUAAAUCGAUUUAGGGAGGGAACAUGGGUUCAUCAUGCAAUUGGAGUAAAAUCAAAUUCAAACCAAUACAUUAACAUCCAUUCAUCAUUAUUUAAUCAUUAAAAUUUUUUUGAGAAGGAACCCAUGGAUAGAUUGAGGAAGAAGAAGAACUGUGAUCAUGAAACUUUCUUUGAAUCUUUGAGAUUAACUCUCUAAAUGAAAGUAUAUUUUGGAGGGAAACGUUUAAUUUGUGUAGGUUGGAUUAGGAAUGGGAUGUGCACGUGUUUAAUCAAUUAUAUAUACCCAAAAUUAACUAAAUAAACCUAUUAGAGUCAGGUUAGAACGUGGGGUGAAUUUCGUAUUCACCCCUUAAAUUAAACAGACGCAAGGCAGCAGUUAUAGGCGACCAUUGACGCACCCAAUCGACUGGAUAUUGGUCAAUCGACUUGCUGUACAUUGGCUUCUGUUGAUCUGUCCUUGGAUAAUUUUUCAUUUGUGAACUUCCGAUAAUAAGUAUCAAUCGAUGAUACCUAACCUACGGGUCGUUGGGUUACUAACUAGACAUUGUUUGGUCCUUCGAUUGACAUUGACAAGGCAGUGUCUCGACUAGCCUUGGGUGCUUCUUGUGAGGCCUUUUAUGAGGCCUUUUAGAAGUCAUACCAGGAUGUUUCCAACGUAAAUACAGCCCUUAAAAAUUUUCAUACCUCCCAUAUGAUUUUCACCAACAAAAAAAUAGUCACAACUCGUCCAAAGAGGCUAGGCCCCAUCAAGACACAUGUGAGCGUCUUAACGGCUAUUUUACAAAUGCCAUGGACGUUCUUGGUCGUUUUACCUCCAAAAUUCUCCAUAUACCAUCAAUAAAAAUCAUUAUUACUGAUUUUUAUACUUCAUAAUUUUAUGACAUACAAUAUAUAAACAUGUAUUGACACAUAAGGCACAUAUGUGUCUAGUCAUCCAAUUGUUUUGUCGUCCCUUAAUGUUCGACUUCCAAAUCAUCUCAAACAUUACACACUGCCUCAAAAGCAUAUUAUUAGUCAUUUUAGGACCGUAUAAUAUUAAUGCAAACAUGUUAGUAUCUAGACAACCUACUCAUUUGGGGGUCUUAUACUUAUUCUCCCCUAUUGAUGGUUUGCAUCUACAUGAAAGGUUUCAUGGUUGCUAGGUUGAUAUACUUAUAUCCUUCCUUUAUUAGCUUGGAUUGAAUAUUAUGAUGUUUUAAUUUUAUUAGGUCUAUUAUGUUGUAUCCUAAAUUGAAUAGACAAUAAUGUAAGAUAAGUUAGCAUAGAUUAGGUUAGCCUAAAGAAGUACUUACUAUGAAUGGUAGUAUGGGAUGUAAUCCACAGAUGACACAAGUAUGACUUGACGCUACCAAUGAAAUGACCUCUUCUAUGGUGUAUUACUAUCUUGAUAGUUGCUUUAGUUGCCUUCCAUUAUAUGAUUGACUUAGGUUUGUAGUUCCUUUUCAAUAUGAAGAAGGUCUAAGAUGACACAUAAAGACGGUUAAUAUGAAUAGAGUCACUUCAAGUUUUUCUUAGUGUGCCUUUAGGUGAACUUGGGAUAUAAUGAUCUUCUUUUAUGAAGAAGAUAGGUGUUUAUUAUAAAAGUGCAGUAUGAUCAAGAAUGACAAAGGAGAGGUACUUAUAUUAGGUAGUAGUAUGGGAUGCUAACUUUACUUUGCACAAGUAUACUAGAAGGUGGCUUAUAAAGUAGUUCACUUGAGUAUGAAGAACUAAUAGUUGAAGUAUGAACUUAUGUGUGUCUUAUGUUGAAUUACUAUGAUAAGAUACAUAUGUUAUGAUUAUGUUAUUGUCUCUUAUGAUUAUGUCUUAUGUUUACUAACCAUUUUGAGAUACCUUAUGAUUAGUAUGUUAGCUUUCUUACUUCUUACUUUUAUACUAACAUAUUGCCUACAUUUCUAACCAAAUAUAGGGGCUUUUGGGAGAUUGAGUUCUUGGAGGCUAGGUUCCUAUGUUUGGAGAAGAUUGAAGAAUGGUGAGUGCUCAUAGAAUUCGAGGACAACACCCUUACAUUCCGUUUAUGUCUUUUAUUAUGUUUUAGACUUUUUGUGCGGUGUACCAAGAUAUUAUGACUCAUGUAUUGGUAUUUUUUUUAGACAUAUGUUAGAAAGACAUAUGCUGUUAUGAAAUAAUUUUCGCAUUAUUUUUAAACAAAAAUUUUAAAUUCUUUCCAUUUUAUAUGAUGUUAUGUAAUGAAAGUUAAGGGCUUUUAUAGGACCUCUUUGAAGUCGAGUGCGCUGCAUCACGACUUGGGUGUUCCCUCGGGUCAUGACAAGCUUGGUAUAACAACAUAUGGUUAUAUAAUGGUCCUAGGAUUCGUGAACACCACGUCUAGUAGAGUGUUAUUCAUUGGUGUGAGUUGCGACACAUUUAUGAGUGUCUAUCAGAUAUUUAAGAUUGUCUCACUUAUUCAUUCUCUUAGACUUGUCAUAGAAUUUGGCUUAAUAAGACCUUUUUAUAAUGUUUUCCUAUGAUUUUAUCAAGGUUAUGGCUAACACUAGGGCUAAUACUAGGAGGGUUGGAGAUUACAAUUGAUAUCAAGAGAAUCCUCUACAAGUUUCAAACCAAGUUCCUGUCACGACCCAACCCGAUAGGCCGUGAUUAGUGCCCGUUUUGGACACCCACAUACAAACCUGCUAAGUAUAACCAACUGAAACUAAGACAAUAUGGAAUUUAAUCAAAUCAAGCCAACCCCAACGUCAUAUAUAUAUAUAUAAGAGGACCUGUCUCAUAAGGAGUCAUAACCAUUCAACCAUAACAGCAUACGCGAGCCGACAAGGCCGCCACUAUUCAAAGCAUAAUGAUGUACGCAGCCGACAAGGCGGCCCCUGUACAAGCGGGCAUCCCAAACAAACCAUGUCCAGACCAUUAUCCAAAACAUAUAUAUACAACCCACAUAAUGUCCACAGACCUCUAAGAGUACAUUAGUGAAACUCGACGGGACAGGGCCCCGCCAUACCCAUAGACGAGCAAAAGACUACAAUAAAGUUAUGUACCAAAACGACUGGGCUCCGGAACAGUGGAGCUCUCCCAAUCAGCAGAGUAGAUAUCCUAGGCGGGAGGAUCACCGAACUGCGCGUCUACACCUUCGGGCAUGAAACGCAGCCCCCCGAGGAAAGGGGGGUCAGUACGGACAAUGUACUGAGUAUGUAAAGCAUAAGGUAAAGAUGACAGGAUACCAAUAUGGCAAGUCGAAACAAAAUAUCGCUACACAUAUACUUUUUAAGUGAAAAUCAUGCAUAUAUUUAACAUUUAAGGUGCCCAGCUUCCCUAGUAAGGGGCUCGGCAAAAUAAUCAUCACGUCAUCUCCGUCAUCAUCAUCAUCAUAACCAUCCUCAUCACCAAUCAUAUAUAUAAUAUACAUACCCGGCCCUCUAGUGAGGAACUCGGUGACAUAUGCAAGAAACUCCGCACGAACAUUACCCGGCCCGGGACUCGGUGAAAUGAUAAAUGACUCUAUGCACGAGCAGAAUAUUAUGAGCAACCAUAUGCAAUUAAAAUCAUUUCUUAUAACUCAAUAGAACAAUCAACGUGAACCAGCAAGGAGUGUUACCAAAGAUUAAUGUUUUAUCAAGAUUAUGAACCUUUAAUACGAUAUGAAAACAUAAAAUUUCAAUGACUCUAAGAAGCAUUACCAUAGAUAUUAGAGAUCAUCAUAGCCUUAGACAUAACCGAUAUAUAGAGGAAUAAUUGUGGAAGCAAGAAUAUACAUCACCUAGACGCUUUAGAGGU